rnacentral:misc_RNA from 1 species
UAAUAAGUGUUUUAUGGCACUUUUUAAAUCCAUAUCCACCUUGUGUGCAAUGUCAGGUUGUCCUCUCCAGAAAAUGAAGAGGAUGACCCAAACAUCAACUUAUCCUUGAACUCUUUGUCUGAAAAAUAUUAUGAAUAAAAUAAUUCAAAAUA